UAUGUGGAGAGUGCGGCAGACGGCUCAAUAACAUGUAGCUAACCUGCCCUUAGGAUGGGGAUAACCCCUGGGAAACUGGGGCUAAUACCCAAUAGAUGGUAGAAUCUGGAAUGUUCAUCCGUUGAAAGGAUUUUAGAAACAUGCUUCUAAUGUUGCCUAAGGAUGGAGCUGCAGCCGAUCAGGUUGUUGGUAGGGUAACGGCCUACCAAGCCUAUAACCGGUACGGGCCCUGAGAGGGGGAGCCCGGAGAUGGGAACUGAGACAAGGUCCCAGGUCCUACGGGGCGCAGCAGGCGCGAAACCUCCACAAUGCACAAACGUGUGAUGGGGUUAUCCCGAGUGCCGUCCGUUGAGGAUGGCUUUUCCCCAGUGUAAGGAGCUGGGGGAAUAAAGGGGGGGCAAGACUGGUGUCAGCCGCCGCGGUAAUACCAGCCCCCUGAGUGGUAAGGACGAUUAUUUGGCCUAAAGCGUCCGUAGCCUGCUCAAUAAGUCUUUCGUCAAAUCUAACGAUUCAAUCGUUAGCUCGCGGGAGAUACUGUUGGGCUAGAGGACGGGAGAGGUCGACGGUAGUCCUGGGGUAGGGGUGAAAUCCAAUAAUCCCAGGAGGACCACCAAUGGCGAAGGCAGUCGACUAGAACGUGCCUGACGGUGAUGGACGAAAGCUGGGGGAGCGAACCGGAUUAGACACCCGGGUAGUCCCAGCUGUAAACGAUGCGGGCUAGGUGUUGGGGUAGCCAAGAGCUGCUCCAGUGCCGCAGAGAAGUCGUUAAGCCCGCCGCCUGGGAAGUACGAUCGCAAGAUUGAAACUUAAAGGAAUUGGCGGGGGAGCACCACAAGGGGUGAAGGCUGCGGUUCAAUUGGA
rnacentral:rRNA from 1 species